rnacentral:tRNA from 1 species
UGGCUCAGUGGUUAAGAGCCUGGACUGCUCUUCCAGAGGUCCUGAGUUCAAUUCCCAG